UUGAUACGUGUCCUCCACCGCCACAGAUAUACACCGAGUAAAUACGUCGAUAUCCAGCGCCAAUGCCACUUUGUAUACAAACCACCGCUUUGUCUUCCAAUAAGAUCCGACUCUACAAUCUACCGCCAUUACCGAGUACUGUCACGGGUUCGAUCGGUAAAGCAAAAGCUAGAGAACGUCGUUGUCAUCGCACUGACUUCAGCACCUCGAAAUGAUGCGGGUGCAUCGAGGAUAAAAUCCGAUGCACGCUUUGCUACGAUAAUCAAUCGCUUGCUCCUUUCAUCGCUUGCUUUCAUAAACAUCGUUUAAUUGCACAUGAAAUGACUGUUUGACUGCUUUUUUUGUUCAGGAUAUUCGAGAAUCUCUGGCUACCAUGAAGGAAAUUGGGGUCAUUCUAGAGAAACAACACAAAACCCAAAUGGCACAUCGAUUUUAUUUCUAGGGUUUUCAGUUCUGAAUUUCAAGUUGUCCCUCCACACCAAUCACAUACACUCAAGGUACGAGUCUGUUGACGCAGAUUGAAGGUAAUACCAUUGAUUUCUCUGUUUUUCCUUUUCUUCCUUUCCAAUCAUCAUCUCCAAAUAUUUUCCUUUUGAAAACCAUGGAAUUUCAGAUUGUGUUUGUUGAAGAUGAUAUGCUUCGGCUGGCGUGUCAACUCCCACAAACCCACAGUUGGGUAAUAUAUGAUAUACUUCAGUCGACUCCCACAAUUAUGUCAGUUUAAUGGAACUUUAACCAAAAGAAAAACAUUAUUUUCAAAACAAAAAAAAAAAAAAUACAACAAAAAAGUAUUUGGUAAAAAAGAAACAUUACCUCUAAUAUUUAAGUUGUAUAUGUGGGUGUCUCUUAUUCAAUUAUUGCAGCAGAACAAAUGACUUUUAUAGGAGCCACCUGAUUAGAAAAUAAAACAAUAACUUUACCAUUGUAAGUAAUUAUAUAUAUGAUUUGGAAGAAGAAAAGCAAAGAUGAUUUUCCUAUGGUUGCAAGCAUGUCUCUUGGUGACUAUGUAUGGAUAGCCUUGAAAAUAUUUGGAUAUAUUUUUUUAUUGAUGUUGGUUCAGUUUCUCAAUGCAUAUUUCCGGUUUUUAUGUACAGCUACAAGCAUUUUGAAUUUGGUUAAGACAAGCAGACAAUGCUCAUUCCCAUCACAGUCGCCCACUAAAAACCCUAAACUCUCCCCUCCAAUCAUACGCCUUCUCUAUGUGCAUACAUGUCAUUGCAUCUUGAAGCAGAUCUGCAAUGGGAGAUUACCAUGAGAUGAUUUUGGGUUUUCUUCACGUUUUCUUCUCAAACACAUUUUUUUCUAAUACCUGCAUCUUUUGUGUGGUUUACAUUAAAUUUUGUAUUUACAGAAAUGACCGGUUCACAUCUGGACAUUGGUGAACAUAUACAACAUCUCCUAAUCGAACCCUUAGGUUUGUUUGAAUGACUUUGUUCAUUCUGAUCUUUGGUUCAUCACAGGUUUCAUCAGCAAGGGCAAUGCAGACUGUAUCUUUCUUUUUCUCCCCCUGUAAAACAUAAGAAAAAGAUAAAUUAAACAUCUCUACAUACAAUUCAGCUGAAGUUACUAUUUCCAAGUCACACUUCUCAUUCACAAAAUUUCUUAUUUUAUUAACCGUUUAAUCAUUUACAAGAAUGUUAUCUCCAAAAGCAGAGACAUUGGGAAAAACAAGCACAUAAGUAGGAAGAAAGGGAAGGUCGAAAUGUGAAAGGAGAAGGGGCAAAUUUGGAAACAGUAAAUCCAUUGAUAUCCCAAUUCACCAAUGAACCUAUUGCCGGUUUCCAUGAUAAGCAAUAGAUGGAAGCAUCAUCGGAUCUGGUCAUUUACUUUGGUAAGGUAUUGUGGGCUCUUUUUUAAAAUUUUUAAUUAUUAUAGUUAAAUAUUAUGUAGAGUCCAAGGAUGGAAUCACCCAUUCCAGUCACUGUGAAGCUGUCCAGUCAACGAAAAUGGAAUGAUUCUACCUCCCCCAUUUACGAUGGCCCACCACCUAAAAAGACAUUAAACCAAGUCCAUACCCGGACUUUACAGCUGAAGAGGUCUUCUCAUCCUACAUGUAGCAUUCCUGGUUCAGUCAACUGCUUAGCAACUUUGUAGUGGAGAAUUUGGACAUGUUCAUCUUUCGCUUCCAAAUUGUAUCAGGCCUUAAGAACAGGCACACCAAAGUAGAUUGUUGUUUGCUGUGUUUUUCAUAUUUAAUCCUUUUCAAUAUAACUCAAUAAAAUCUUCAUGUUUUUUCUAAUUCUUUGGUGUAUCCAACCCCGCAAAGCGGGGAUUUUCCCUAGUUCUUAAAUAAAUUUCCUAUUUAUAGUCUUA